AGUGAACGCUGGCGGUAGGCCUAACACAUGCAAGUCGAACGGCAGCACAGUAAGAGCUUGCUCUUACGGGUGGCGAGUGGCGGACGGGUGAGGAAUACAUCGGAAUCUACUUUUUCGUGGGGGAUAACGUAGGGAAACUUACGCUAAUACCGCAUACGACCUACGGGUGAAAGCAGGGGAUCUUCGGACCUUGCGCGAUUGAAUGAGCCGAUGUCGGAUUAGCUAGUUGGCGGGGUAAAGGCCCACCAAGGCGACGAUCCGUAGCUGGUCUGAGAGGAUGGGCAGCCACACUGGAACUGAGACACGGUCCAGACUCCUACGGGAGGCAGCAGUGGGGAAUAUUGGACAAUGGGCGCAAGCCUGAUCCAGCCAUACCGCGUGGGUGAAGAAGGCCUUCGGGUUGUAAAGCCCUUUUGUUGGGAAAGAAAAGCAGCAGGUUAAUACCCCGCUGUUCUGACGGUACCCAAAGAAUAAGCACCGGCUAACUUCGUG
rnacentral:rRNA from 1 species